GACGAACGCUGGCGGCGUGCCUAAUACAUGCAAGUCGAGCGGACCACUUCGGUGGUCAGCGGCGGACGGGUGAGUAACACGUGGGCAACCUGCCUGUAAGACUGGGAUAACACCGGGAAGCCGGUGCUAAUACCGGAUAAUCCUUUCCUUCACAUGAGGGAAAGCUGAAAGACGGUUUCGGCUGUCACUUACAGAUGGGCCCGCGGCGCAUUAGCUAGUUGGUGAGGUAACGGCUCACCAAGGCAACGAGGCGUAGCCGACCUGAGAGGGUGAUCGGCCAGACGGGGACAGAGACAGGGCACAGACUCCUGCGGGAGGCAGCAGUAGGGAAUCUUCCGCAAUGGACGAAAGUCUGACGGAGCAAGGCCGCGUUAGCGAUGAAGGCCUUCGGGUCGUAAAGCUCUGUUGUCAGGGAAGAACAAGUACCGGAGUAACUGCCGGUACCUUGACGGUACCUGACCAGAAAGCCACGGCUAACUACGUGCCAGCCGCCGCAGUAACAC
rnacentral:rRNA from 1 species